GAGAUGCUGAAUUUCCUCUGUUAGCUUCUACCUUACCACCUGCCGUGCACGUAUUCAAAAUAGAUACAACACUCUUAUACCUAGUUGAAGACCACAGCUGCUUCUGCUAUUCAGUUUUACGGACAAACUUUGGCUUCGUCUCUGUUUGCUUCUACCUUGCCGCCUGCCUCUCCACCCACUUUUCUGUCAAUUGCUACCUUCAUUAGAGUAGACUACACCACUUCACCUAGAAACACUCAGUAGGUCAAAUCCCACUCGAACUUCAGCUUUCUACCUUCAGUGAGUGGUCGGUCAGAGUAGACUACCUUCAAAAGCACGCCAAGACUCUUCCCUCAGUUUUG
rnacentral:lncRNA from 1 species